rnacentral:rRNA from 1 species
AUGCCCGGAGAUCUUAACCAGUGGAUAAUGAAGCAUUACGACCCUGAGAUUUCGCAUAUAGUAAUUCCAGAAAGGGGGAAGAUUCCUGUAGAUGCCGCAAGUGUCCGUAGGAUAUGGGGUUUGCCAAAUAGGGGCAGGAAAGUGUGCUUCGAGAAUCGGCCUCAAAUCACAAAGGCAAUGUACAGUAUUUACAACAUCACAUCCAAGAACUCCCCAACUCUCACAGAAUGGUGCAAGAUGAUCAUAGACAUGGGAGGAUCUUAUGAUGAUGACUUUGUCCGCGCUUGGCUAGCUCUUGUUUUUUCGUGCUUUCUUGCCCCUUCAACUAGUUUAAGUAUUUCCCUAAAAAGCUUCCCGACGGUCAUGGAUGUCAAUGGAAUAACGAAAACCAAUAUAUGCCAGUUUGUUGUUGAUCAACUAAAGCUUGCGUUCACUUCGGGGCGUGGCAACAAGAAGGUCAUUUGUUGUUGUGUUUUCCACCUUGUUGUAAGUGCUUCAAACUGUUUUGCUUUUUUUAAGCAUCCAUUGUUUACUUUUUUUUUCUUUUUUUGCAAUCAUUAG